rfam:Helianthus annuus linkage group 11, whole genome shotgun sequence.
AGUCCAUGGUGCGGACAUUUUCUUAAAUGUUCUUUAAACCGUUCCCAUGUUUUGUAUAAAGAUUCCCCAUUCUCUAGAAGAAAAGAAUUAAUUCCAGUCAUUAAUUU